rnacentral:rRNA from 1 species
GACGAACGCUGGCGGCGUGCUUAAUACAUGCAAGUCGAACGGAAAGGCCCUGAUCUUGCGGGGUGCUCGUGUGGCGAACGGGUGAGUAACACGUGAGUAAACCGCCCCUGUCUUUGGGAUAAAUUUAGGAAACUGGGGAUAAUACCGGAUAGGAGCUCCUGAUGCACGGUGGGGGUUGGAAAGAUUCGGCGGUGCGGGCUCGACUAGCGGCUUAUCCGCCUGUUGGUGGGGUAGUGGCUUACCAAGGCUUCGACGGGUAGCCGGCCUGGGAGGGUGACCGGCGACAAUGGGACUAAGGGACGGCCCAGACUGCUACGUGAGGCAGCAGUGGGGAGUAUGGCGCAAUGGGGGGGAGCCUGAGGCAGCGGCGCCGCGUGCGUGAUGACGUCCUUCGAGGGAAAAACCGCUGUGGCCUGUGACGUGGCGUGAGUGACGGUAAUUGGUAAGGAAGCACCGGCUAACUACGUG